AAAGGGUCCGUAGGCGGUUUGGUAAGUCAGUGGUGAAAGCCCAUCGCUCAACGGUGGAACGGCCAUUGAUACUGCCAGACUUGAAUUACUAGGAAGUAACUAGAAUAUGUAGUGUAGCGGUGAAAUGCUUAGAUAUUACAUGGAAUACCAAUUGCGAAGGCAGGUUACUACUAGUGGAUUGACGCUGAUGGACGAAAGCGUGGGUAGCGAACAGGAUUAGAUACCCUAGU
rnacentral:rRNA from 1 species